rnacentral:lncRNA from 1 species
CGUGAUAAAAAGAGGUACGAAUUGAAUGUUAAGGUUGCUUUACUCAGAGAUCCAGAGAUAAGAGAAGACAGUGAAUUUACAUCAUGAAAAUCUGUCAUACCUCCCAUCUCCAGCCAGCAGAUUACACAGGUACAAGGGGCAAGGCAGGGGAACAGGGUCUGUAGCACAAUGGAAGAAUAGAUGGUCAGACACCCUGCCACACCUUGGAUAUACUGCUUCUGUUGGCACUUCAAGACUAUAAGCUUGACACACAAGAAGCCUUUUAGGGAAGAGAACUGACGUGUAUGCUCAUGUUGAAAGCAACCCUGUGGUAUGUUGUCACUAAUCUUUUUUUUUUUUUAAAGAUUUAUUUAUUUAUUAUAUGUAAGUACACUGUUGCUGUCUUCAGACACACCAGAAGAGGGCAUCAGAUCUCAUUACAGGUGGUUGUGAGCCACCAUGUGAAUUGGAUCCGAAGAAAGCUGGUGGCAGCUCUCCUCUCCCAUCUGUCCUCUCUGAGAUGUAAGAAUGGGAGCUCUCCUUACCGCAGGCCAGUUCUUCCUUUCUACCUGGCUACACCGGUGCCCUGGCAUGCGUCUGCUCUGCUGCCCUCUGCUUUAAGUUUCUGAGUAAAGAUUUUCAGAAACAAAGGACUCUGCAUCAGCCUUAUCCACCAACCAAUGAAUCAGGUAAGAAGUAUUACUUUUCUUACACUUCUCUGAUAGAAAGCAAACUUUCCUUUUAUCUUAGAGUUAGUAUAUAUUGAUGAUAAAAAUAGGUUGAGCCGAGAGUUUUUAUCCACACAAAUAAUGAACGUUCAUUGUGCUUUCCACACGUCCAGCACCUCCUCUUACUGUCCUCUGAUCCUGAUAUCCUUCCUAUCUGCAGCAUCUGACUUAGAAAGACAACAAGCAUCCCUGUAAAACCUCAUGUUUGGAAACUAGCAAGCUGAGGACCGAACCCAGGGUCUUGCGCUUGCUAGGCAAGCACUCUACCACUGAGCCAGAACCCAAACCUGGAUGUUAGGGUUGCUCUUCUCACCUCAGUGAACUGAACCUACAUAGGCUCCACAGGAAUGUCCAAAGGCCUGCCUCCUAUACGAUUCUAUAUCUUGUCAAACGACAAUAUUAACUUUCCUAAGGAGUGAGAAGUUUUUUUUCAUAAAACUUACUUUGAAGCCAUUACAAUGUUGGAGGCUG